CGGCCCCACGCACCAGGGUAAGA
rnacentral:ncRNA from 8 species